CCUGGAGGGACACGUGUCUGCUGAACACAGAGAACAUCGACGCCACUCCUGUGAGACCUCCUCACUGGCCAGCUCCGACAGCUGGUGACCGCACACACCUCAAACGGAAGAGGAAGACAGUGGAACUCAGCACUACAGUCCAUGGCUCUGUGCUCCGGCACAGCAUCCUGAAAGGCAUCUCUGCUCAGAUAGUCUCAGCCGCUGACAAAGUAGAUGCUGGACUGCCAACUGCAGUAACUGUGUCUGGUGUGAUCGUAGUGGGAACGUCUCAUGGCCUGGCUCUAGUGUUUGGUAAGUCCUUAACAUAUCAGUGAU